rnacentral:ribozyme from 1 species
UGCCCAGCAAAUCCUAUGCCUACCUCCUCGUGGUACCGGUCGGAAACAAUUAGUAACCUUAGGAAAGAUUGGGUAGCCAACUCCGGUGGGAACUUUGGUCGUAGGCUGACAGUGAAGG